AUUUUGAUGGAACUAUACUAAGUGAAUCUACCUGUGUUCGAAAUCUUGGAGUUUUUCUCGAUCAAACCCUCAGCAUGCAGUAACAGACAAAUGCAAUUACCAAAUCCUGUUUCCAUCAGAUUCAUAACAUAGGACGGAUUCGAUCAUAUAUAACAGAAGACGCUUGCAAAACUCUUGUAUGCUCUCUUGUUACGUCGCGACUUGAUUACGGUAAUGCUUUGAUGUAUGGUGUGAAUGCCUAGAGUCUAUC
rnacentral:lncRNA from 1 species